UACGGAGGGUGCAAGCGUUAUCCGGAAUCACUGGGCAUAAAGCGCACGUAGGCGGUCUGUUAAGUCAGAUGUGAAAGCCCCCGGCUCAACCGGGGAACAGCAUUCGAUACUGGCAGACUCGAGGAUGGUAGGGGUGAGUGGAACUCCAGGUGGAGCGGUGAAAUGCGUAGAUAUCUGGAGGAACACCGGUGGCGAAAGCGGCUCACUGGACCAUUACUGACGCUGAGGUGCGAAAGCUAGGGUAGCAAACGGG
rnacentral:rRNA from 1 species